UGCCAUCUGUUAGGCCAUGAAGCACGAGAAAUAUCAGAAGAAAAUUCCAAAGUAGCCAUGCUCUGAGAGUAUUUUGUCCUGAAUUGAGUAAUGCUCAAAUGUUAUCUGAAUGUUGGAAGAAACCAUUUAAAAGAAAAAUCUUUACAAGCAAUUAUGCAUGCUGAAGCAAUCUACAUAGCAUACAGAAGAUUAUGAAUUCUUUCAUAAAUGGAUGCACCUGAGGAAGAGUCUGAAGAAGGAAGAACGCUCAGAAGACAGAAUUACGGUUAUGAGUCGUCGCCUCUUAGCAGAGUACUCGGCAGUGCCAGUCUAUGAAAUGCCAGCGGAAGGCUACAUGAUCUUGCUUCCAGCAGCUACACUGAAUCAAAGUGAGUAAAAGUAAGUUGCUUUGACUUUUGUGGAAGAAAUUAUUACUGUUGCCAGAAGGUAGUUGUGCAAAA